rnacentral:rRNA from 1 species
UACGUAGGGGGCAAGCGUUGUCCGGAUUUAUUGGGCGUAAAGAGCGUGUAGGCGGCCAGGUAGGUCUGCUGUGAAAACUCGAGGCUUAACCUCGAGCUGUCGGCGGAAACCAUCUGGCUAGAGUCCGGAAGAGGAGAAUGGAAUUCCUGGUGUAGCGGUGAAAUGCGUAGAUAUCUGGAGGAACACCGGUGGCGAAGGCGGCAUCCUGGACCGACACUGACACUGAGGAGCGAAAGCCAGGGGAGCAAACGGG